rnacentral:sRNA from 1 species
AUAUCUCUCCGUACGGGAAGGAUGAGAAGCUUCGACUAAGGUUCGAUUCGAGCGAAAGCGAGAAAGCGUUGCCGCAGGCAACGACCCGAAGGGCGAAGCGCGCAGCGCUGAGUCAUCCUUCC